rnacentral:rRNA from 1 species
GAUGAACGCUAGCGACAGGCUUAACACAUGCAAGUCGAGGGGCAGCAUAAAAGUAGCAAUACUUUGGUGGCGACCGGCGCACGGGUGAGUAACGCGUAUGCAACCUACCUAUCAGAGGGGGAUAACCCGGCGAAAGUCGGACUAAUACCGCAUAAAACAGGGGCACCGCAUGGUGAUAUUUGUUAAAAAUUUAUUGCUGAUAGAUGGGCAUGCGUUCCAUUAGGUAGUUGGAGAGGUAACGGCUCACCAAGCCUACGAUGGAUAGGGGAACUGAGAGGUUGGUCCCCCACACUGGUACUGAGACACGGACCAGACUCCUACGGGAGGCAGCAGUGAGGAAUAUUGGUCAAUGGGGCGAGAGCCUGAACCAGCCAAGUCGCGUGAAGGAAGAAGGAUCUAUGGUUCGUAAAACUUCUUUUGCAGGGGAAUAAAGUGCAGGACGUGUCCUGUUUUGUAUGUACCCUGAGAAUAAGGAUCGGCUAACUCCGUGCCAGCAGCCGCGGUAA